rnacentral:rRNA from 1 species
AUUGAACGCUGGCGGCAGGCCUAACACAUGCAAGUCGAACGGUAACAGGAAGCAGCUUGCUGCUUUGCUGACGCGUGGCGGACGGGUGAGUAAUGUCUGGGAAACUGCCUGAUGGAGGGGGAUAACUACUGGAAACGGUAGCUAAUACCGCAUAACGUCGCAAGACCAAAGAGGGGGACCUUCGGGCCUCUUGCCAUCGGAUGUGCCCAGAUGGGAUUAGCUAGUGGGUGGGGUAACGGCUCACCUAGGCGACGAUCCCUAGCUGGUCUGAGAGAAUGACAGGCAAACUGGAACUGAGAACAGGGUCAGACUCCCAAGGGAGGCAGGAGGGGGGAAUAUUGCACAAUGGGCGCAAGCCUGAUGCAGCCAUGCCGCGUGUAUGAAGAAGGCCUUCGGGUUGUAAAGUACUUUCAGCGGGGAGGAAGGGAGUAAAGUUAAUACCUUUGCUCAUUGACGUUACCCGCAGAAGAAGCACCGGCUAACUCCGUG